UCUGGUGGACGACCUCCAGAACUUUCUUUUACUGGCGGGGACGACCCCA
rnacentral:ncRNA from 1 species